UGGGGAAUCUUGGACAAUGGGCGAAAGCCUGAUCCAGCCAUGCCGCGUGUGUGAAGAAGGUCUUCGGAUUGUAAAGCACUUUAAGUUGGGAGGAAGGGCAGUUACCUAAUACGUAUCUGUUUUGACGUUACCGACAGAAUAAGCACCGGCUAACUCUGUGCCAGCAGCCGCGGUAAUACAGAGGGUGCAAGCGUUAAUCGGAAUUACUGGGCGUAAAGCGCGCGUAGGUGGUUUGUUAAGUUGGAUGUGAAAUCCCCGGGCUCAACCUGGGAACUGCAUUCAAAACUGACAAGCUAGAGUAUGGUAGAGGGUGGUGGAAUUUCCUGUGUAGCGGUGAAAUGCGUAGAUAUAGGAAGGAACACCAGUGGCGAAGGCGACCACCUGGACUGAUACUGACACUGAGGUGCGAAAGCGUGGGGAGCAAACAGGAUUAGAUACCCACGUAGUCCCUGAGCGGGCUGGCAAGGCGCAU
rnacentral:rRNA from 1 species